rnacentral:tRNA from 1 species
UCCCUGGUGGCUCAGCGGGUAAAGCAUCUGCCUGCAAUGCGGGAGACCUGGGUUCGAUCCCUGGGUGGGGAA